rnacentral:rRNA from 1 species
UACGUAGGGUCCGAGCGUUAAUCGGAAUUACUGGGCGUAAAGCGUGCGCAGGCGGUUUUGUAAGCCAGAUGUGAAAUCCCCGGGCUCAACCUGGGAACUGCAUUUGGGACUGCAAGGCUAGAGUACGGCAGAGGGGGGUAGAAUUCCACGUGUAGCAGUGAAAUGCGUAGAGAUGUGGAGGAACACCGAUGGCGAAGGCAGCCCCCUGGGUCAAAACUGACGCUCAUGCACGAAAGCGUGGGGAGCAAACAGG